rnacentral:rRNA from 1 species
AUUAUGGCUCAGGAUGAACGCUAGCUACAGGCUUAACACAUGCAAGUCGAGGGGCAGCAUGUUGGUUGCUUGCAACCAAUGAUGGCGACCGGCGCACGGGUGAGUAACGCGUAUCCAACCUUCCCCUUAGUAGAGGAUAGCCCGGCGAAAGUCGGAUUAAUACUCUAUGUUCUUCAAUGCGGACAUCUAAGUUGAAGCAAAGAUUUAUCGCUAAGGGAUGGGGAUGCGUCUGAUUAGGUUGCAGGCGGGGUAACGGCCCACCUGGCCUACGAUCAGUAGGGGUUCUGAGAGGAAGGUCCCCCACACUGGUACUGAGACACGGACCAGACUCCUACGGGAGGCAGCAGUGAGGAAUAUUGGUCAAUGGGCGCGAGCCUGAACCAGCCAAGUAGCGUGCAAGGACGACUGCCCUAUGGGUUGUAAACUGCUUUUAUCAGGGAAUAAAGUGAGGCACGCGUGCCUUUUUGUAUGUACCUGAUGAAUAAGGACCGGCUAAUUCCGUGCCAGCCGCCGC